GGCGGUGCAGGCGCUGGGAGGGGCUUGGCUCCGUGCGUGGGGCGAGCUCAGGGUGAGCGGCAGGGUUGCGGUCCCGCUGCCCCUCUCUGGCUGCCCGCACACGCGGCCCGAUGGGCCCAAAACCAAAAGGCGAAAGGAUUCUGUGGCUCGCAGGUUGCCAGCCGCGUUGCCCUGCUGCUAGGUGCCCCGUGCUGCUGCCUGACUGCGUUAGCGGCUGCGCUCCGCGGAAACGACCCAUCCGAGCACGACGGCGGAGCGCUCGCAGCCUUCGUGUGUGGGCGUGCGUGUGUGCCUCUCCUUCCUCCCCACCCUUGAUAAUUUGUUAACCCGUUGGUCAGUUGGUCGGUCCAAUGUGACGGAGGGAAAGCGUCUCCAGGAGGGAUUAUAAACAUCCUGGCCACGGGAAAAGGUUCGGGUGGAACUCGCACUACACCGGGAGCCGGGCAGUCCUGGACAGGAGAUGCAAACGCGUGUGAGUCCACAAGGCUGAGCCCGGGGACGCUGAGCCUGGCCCAGCCCUGUGCACGUCAACAAACACACGCAUCUCUUGGUAGCUUGAAUGCCAGGUGAGUGUGUCAACUGAUUCAGGACAUUAGGGGCCAAAAAAAACAACAACAAAAACAAAAUAACACCUAUGGGAAAAAAAUAUAAUAACAGCUUACCAGAAUGGGAAUCUGUAAGCUACAGAGCAUGCAAUACCAAGGUGACCAUCAGAGGUGCUGAGGACAUUGCAAGUGAACUAAUAGCUUUGGUUUGUAGUAUAAAGUUAGUUGCAGAAGGCAGCCUCUGUUCUAACGCUGAACAAACUGUCCUGUUGGCAGAGGUACCCCUGUGCAAAGAUCCAAAUUACAGCAGCAGGAAGGUGACACGUUACCUAAUUCAGAUAGUACGUGAAUAAAGCUUUGACAACAGCUCUAAGCAGUCUUCAGGCAGCCAGGGAGAAUCACCAAACCCUCAUACUGCCAAAUACCUAAAACACAUGACUGUCAUGCAGCGUUCAAAAGUACUCAGAGGCAUAAAGCCUCUCUUCAAUUUCCUAAUCUAAGAAAACAGAUGUUAAUCACAUUUGAAUACCAGAGUACAAAGAGGAUCCCAGCAGAACUUCCUCAGGCCUGACCCACGGAUCGGAAUGCACAACAGCUUUGAUAGCAGUGCUCCCAGCUGCACAGGAGCUUCCAGCCUUCAGAGCAGCAGAAUCAGAACAUGGAAUGAUUUGUGUCAGCGUUAACCCUGCACACAUUUGUUCUCAGUCUUUGAUUUUAGAAGACAUACAAAACUGUUCUCGGAAACUUCUUUUUUCCCCCCAACAGUGCUAUUUCUGUGUCCUCGGCAGCCGUUUGGACAAAAAGCAGAGCAUUUUUGGUUAUGCUGCUGUCUCGGGAUAGUGGAAAGAGUAAUGAUGUUCACAUGUUUCCCAGCAGUGGAAAGUUUCCAACUGACUGUGGGAGGUGGAGGUUUGAGCUUCCAGUGAGGCUCAGUAACACUCUGCACUUGCCCAGAGACAUUCAGCAGCUCUUGACAUCCCUCAACAAUAAGAACUGCUUUCUCCUGAGACAGUCUCUUUAAGUGUGGCAGCGUUACUCUUCUUUAGGAACAGGUUGUUAUUUGUAAAAUCUUUCCCUUUCUUCCUGCUGAUUGUUAGACCUCUCUGACUCCCCUUCUAGUGAAGAAAGAAUAGCAACUUUCUGGGGGAGAACAUAGUAAAAGAAGGGUUUAGAGUAGGGCAAGAAAAAACACCAAACAACCUCGCAACAAACAAACAAAUUUUCUCAGAUACGAAAGCUGCAUUGAGAGAUUGUGUAAGAUAGAUCCUAAGACAAGGCUGGCGACAACUUUCAUAUGGAAAAAUUGGGUUUUAAGACUUGGGGUCGUAAGGAAAGAGCAGGACUGAGUGGACUGCAUGUGAUCUGUGCCUUUCUGAGUGGGCAAACCGACUGAAUACAACCACUACAGGAUCGAGGAACUUUAUUCGUUUUAUUGCUGAGAUCUGCUACUCUCAGUAAGGACCCACAUAAUAACAUCCUACAGGAUACUCUGCAGUGAGGCUCUUUCUCUGCUGCAGUAUUGUCCGCAGAGGCCACCUUGAAAUGAUGCUAAAAGGAAGGAAUGAAUCUUUGAUCCUCUGGGAAAACCGAAGCCUGUUACCGACUCAGCUGAGCACUGUGAUGGGCAGACACAGCUGGACAAGAGCAGUCAUACAUUCAGCUCAAAACCAUAUUAGUGAAGCCUCUUCAAUGCCUGCAGCCUUAUGGAAGGGAAUUGUACAGAGGUAGGGUUCAAGCUCUUUGGUGGAGCCAUGAAAUCAAGGUAUCUUCACACCUUCAAUCAUUUCAGUGUAACCCUUUGGAAACUUUAAAAUCCCGAGUUCCAAGUUUAAGUGCAAAGUGUACAACAUCCUCUUCAUGGACACCAUAUGGCUUACAUAACAUCAGGGAGAAAGGCUAUAUUUGCGACACCCUCCCACAUUGAAAUGACUCGCCUGAGAAUGUCUCUUUAAGUCAGCACUAACGCAGUAGCACUACGGGUUGUUAGAGCUGGAAUUAUCUCUGCGUAUCCUAUUGUUUUCCUUUUUAUUUCAUGACACAGCGUAUUCUUAGAACAAAGUUGUGAGGUUGCCUUGGAGAUGGAGGACCUAACUAUAAGGCUAUCUGUCAUACUGGACUAUUUGCAUUAGGCGAUCUAGCUGUGAAUACUUUCAACAACAAUUGAGUGAAGUGACAAAAAGCUUAUGAAACCGUCACAGGGGAGUUGCAUAAACUGGGGUCAGAUGUUCAGUUUGAGACUGUUACAGGACUUUUGCAGCUGGCUGAUGAGAGGAAAUGGGAGGUCAUCUGGUUUGUAGUUGUUAUAACAACAACCUGUUAUGUUUCUCAGGCUGCAGAGAUGCCCAUAGUCUUUUGGCAGGAUGGAUCAGGAGGAUGAUUUCCUCUUUUCCACAAUAAUGUUUGAAAACCACAAAUGUUUUUCAGAUAGUUGAAUUUGGGAAUUCUCCUGGAGGCAGCAAAAGUGCAAAUACACCACAGUGCAGCCUGUGAGUGGAUCAGCAGGAGAUUUUGGUAAUGCUCCACAUAUUUAGCUGAUAUGUUAAUGUGUGAGACAGAGGAAGACUGAGAACCUACAGGUUUGCUGCAACAUCCAGCUGACAAAAAGAGAGACGGAGAGAGAGACAGAGACCCAACUGCGUAUUGUCUUUACUUCCAGUGUUUAGUUUAUACCUUCCCAGGGAAAACUGGCAAGUGACAGGCUAUGAAUAACGUACCCAUAGGGAAAAUUUGUUUCUAAACACAAAUAGUGUCUGGUUUAUGUCUGGGUGGGUGUGCUGGCAAUUUCAUAACGAUUUCAUUCUACUGAGGCAACCACAUAAAAGAAUUGCUUUGGAGGAAUUCAAGGUGAGAAUAUUCUGUGUCUACAUCAACACUAACACCCUUCGUGCAGUAGAAGUGCAGAGAUUAACAUUUGUCUCCCAUCUUUGCCAUGCUCUUUGAGCAUGAUCUCCUUGCAAACUACGACUAAGGCAAUACAGUCCAUUUCACUUCUAGCUGCUUCAGUUAGGCAGGAGAACUGCCAGCUCAAUGUGUCUCUAGGUUUUUCCACCACAGUGGCAGGACACAGAAAAAGUGUGGGCUUAAGCAAAAUUAUGUUGUAGUUUAGAAGAAGAUGCUACUGGAAUAAGAGCUGCAAACGAGGGAAAAACAAACAUUUGCCUUCAGCUAUGAGUGUCAUAAAGUAGAGGUCACCAAAGCAAGAAAGUCUGAAGGUGCAGCCCUCAACAGAAAAGGCAAGUCUAAUCACAUCACAGCAGAAUUUGCAUACUGUUUUUGCACAUACCUAGGGCUCUGUGACAGGCACCCACAGCGACUGACAUCUGGUAUUAUGGCUAGCAACAGAAUUUUAUAUGGCAAAUGGCUGUUAUUUGUAAGCAGUGUAAUCACAUGUAUCAUUCCCUUUCUCUCCCUGCUUUUUCAGCAUUGUGACAGGAACAUUUGCCCAUCGGUGCUGUCACCAGGAUGUGGUGACACCUGCUAUAGGACAGGAAAGCCUCCUGUUCUCAUUGUGAUAAGAAGGUUUGCCCACCAGCACUGUGAAAGCCCAGGCAACGGGCCACCCAGGUUGUACACACGGUGGUACUAUGGAUCAGGGAAGCAUAAUAACACUUGAGAUAUUGCCAUAAAAUCAAGCAGCUGCUGCUUGAGGGCAAAACCCUGUGAUCCUCCACUGAUCAGGGACACCUUCACCAUCACCACCUUCCUCCAAGGACGAGUGAGUCGUGCUUUUAUUUGUGUUCCAAGUCUAGAUCAUGAUUAUUUUACCAUGCACUAAUUAUUAAGAAGUCAACCCAAUCUGCAGAGUGCUCCUGUGACUAAAGGUUCUCAGUGACUAAAAAUUCUAGACAAAAAUUCUAGACUGAGGUUGGAUGUUAGGAAAUACUUCUCCAAAAGAGUGGUCAGGCGCUGGAAUGGGCUGCCCAGGGAGGUGGUGGAGUCGCCAGCCCUGGAGGUGUUUAAGGAACAUUUAGAUGUUGUAGGACAUGGUUUAGUGGGAAGUAUUGGUGAUAGGUGGACAGCUCGACUGGAUGAUCUUAGAGAUUUUUUCCAACCUUGGUGAUUCUAUGAUUCUAUAACCAGAAGGGUAUGCUAAUGAUCAAAAAUUCUUUGUAAUAAUAAGCUACUCUGACUAUUAAAAAUUCUUGAUAACAGUAAGCUAUGCUGUCUUUUAUAUAGAUAGAUAGAUAUAGAUAAUAAAGCUCUAAAUACAAGCACAGCCCUGUGGCCAGUCUUUAUCCUAUGCAGAACCCAUUCUACCUACAAAAACUCUUUUCACACAGCAUUGGUGAAACUCUCUGAUCUGAACAAUACCCAUCUUGAGAAGUUUCAGAUGCUCAGUACCCAUUGGAAAAACAGUGCCAAAUACAUUUUUUUCCUUCACUCUCUUGGUCCUCUCUAAUGCUGGAGGUUUGAGGUAAUGGUUUUUAGCCAAAGAGCUAAUCUGAUCUAUCUGCUAUUAACUCUGUAUGAAAGAAGCUGAGAAUGGUGUUUGUGUCUGCAUGUGAGAGAGGCAAGAUGUUAUGUUACAUAUGGAAAACCCUCAUUCAUGCCGAUUUAAAUCAGAAAUAAUUCUGUCUAAAUUGGGUACUACUGAGAUGACUAUCUGGUCUUGAGAAUUCCCAAAGUACAGAAUGUUUUAUGCUGUGGUAUAGGUAGGGCCAAGACAAAAACAGCAAGGCUCAGAUAGUUAGAGAAAUGCUUUCUUAACAAUUCCCACCAAAACGUUCUGUUAAAAAGCAGUUAAGGUUGCUCUAGGGCAAAACACACCCACACAAGAAAUGACAGGUUAGGUGAACCUUCACGCCUCAUAUUAACCACUCCCAGUGACAGACUCCAAACCCCAACAAGAAGCUUCCCUUGUUCUGCGGGAUAAAGAAACAAAUGAAAUACCCAUCCCUCCUACACGCUUCAGUGCAAAACCCUCUGGCUUCUGCAACUCUCACAUAAGUGCUGGUGUGUGCAUAGUGGCCUUGGCAGUUCAGAGAGAAAAAUGAAUGUUAAGAAAUUCCCUUUGAGCAUGAACUCUGCUGGUACUGCUGGUCUCGGGGGCCUUCUUUGGCUUUGCCAGUCUCUUUUCUCCAUGGCUGAUCCCCCUCUCCACUGAGGAGAACCAUUCCCCUGGGCAAAGAUAAAGAAUCAUCUGUUCCUUUUUAUUCAGUUAGAGGAUGAGAUAUUCGGUAUGUUAACACUGAAGUAAAUCUGGUUGCCUUUCUGCAAACAGUAGCUACAUUUGCACCAGCUAUUUGUAUCUGGGCUUCUUCAGGAUUAUUUAUUCUUAGCUGGGGAAGGAGAAAUCUCAUGUUAAAGGGGUUUGCACAGAAGAAGACGUGUACACCUUUGCUCCUACAUGUGUUGGUGGUAUUCCAUCUAUCUUCCCACAUAGCUUUAUUCCUCCCUGCACCUAGCUGCUUCUUACAUCCAAGUUUCUUCUGCUCCAUAGGGUUGUAAUGGCCAGUGCUGUCCAGGUUUCAUCUCAUUGUUCAAAUGCUAACACAGAAUUAGUCCUGCCUCUUGUAUCCAGGUGCUCGAUGAAAAAUGUCUUGGUAUCACCAGCAGACUAUCCACAGCCUCUGUGCCACAGAGCUAAUGAGCCUCCUAAUUUCCUAUAGAAAAGCAAAGACAUGUUGGUCCAGGCAUAAAGAUCAGAAUGUUUACGUUGGGCCUCAGGGAGAGUGACCUUCUCUUUCCAUACAUGGCUGCAUCGAGACAAAUAAUUAAAGACAAGUAGAUGAAGUACCAUAGUGCUCCAGACCUACAUCCAUUGGAAACGAGCUGCAGAGACAAGAGUCAAGAGGAAUUAGUCUCAGACUAUCAUUUUGUUUCAUGGGUGAUAACCUUGAAGAUGCUGAUGGAAAGGCUGAAAACUUCCCUGGAGAAUCUACCACACCAAUGUCAAUGUGGUGACCUGGUCAUACUACUUGACCACGUCUCCAAAAUCCUGGCCUUGUUUUCCCUGAUUGCUGUGCUGCGUGGUCAGCUCCAACCUGAUAAUGGCAAUCAUAACAAAACUGUGUUCAUUACAAGUCUGAGCACUUUAUUGUUCUGUCACAACGAAAAUGCCCCAGACAGGAAACUAAUAAAGGUUUGAUAUGUACAUUUACAACCCCACCUUUAAAAUGUCAGCAUGAAGUUUUUAUUUUCCUGUCCUCCAGGAAAAUUUACUUACGCCAACAAUCCUAGAGAAGCAAUACUCAUUCAGAAAACUGCAAAAACUGAAACAUUAAUCCUAAUGCCUUCCCAGUGAUAAAUGCCUUUAUUAACAGUUUCUAAAUUUGCCAUGGCCUGCAUAAGGGUAGAACACAACAUUACAUGGGCUUGGAGCAUGGGCCUUUUCAGGAUACCUAUACACAACAUGCUCAUCUCUAUUAAUUGCUCUAAGAAUAUGCGAUUGAAAUGGGCGAAAUCUUUCCUCUGUUUCCAUGACAAGAAUACUUCCCUGUCACCCGACACUAUGGGGACAGGCAGGUUCUUUAGGGAUCGUGGGUACAGUGAGGACAUCACAAAGUUAUAACUAUAAUUAGAGCUCCAUUAUCACAUAGCAUUUAUAGCUAUCAACAUAGCUUAUUG
ensembl:lncRNA